AUUCCUAUGGGUCUCAAUGGGAAAUCAUCUGUUUUGCAUUACCUUCAGCGGUGCACGUGUUACCUCAGUAGUUCAAGUUUAAGAAACUGAGUGCAGGCCUGAAUAUGGCCCAGCUCACGGGCAUAAUUUCUAAAGUGGUCAACUGGAAUUGACGAGGAGCACAUGGAUACUGUAGAAGUUAAACAAGUACAAGCUUGCCCAGAGUUUUCCUAAACCGUUUGGAGUGUGAUGCAGCACAUGUUUUCUUGGCAAUGAAGUGGAGCCUGAUGUUAGUGCAGCUUUCUGCAAUGCACUUUGAGUAUGAAGAUGUGAUUGUUGUAUGGUUCUAGGUUGAACAUGUGUGCCUCAAGUUCCUUGAAUGCAGAACCACCAUGGAGUUCCAGAACCUUUAUGGGGACAGAGAUGGGCCUUGUGAGUGUGUGCUGUUGAAUACAUUUCUCAGCUGUCUUGCAGACUUUCAGGACACUGUCUGACGGUCUGAUAAGUCCAACUCGGGACUUAAUGUCGAUCAGUGUGUUCAUCUUGGGAAGAGCUCUCGACACUGAGUGCUGAUAAACAGGCUGAAUGUCACUUUGCCUGAAAUGCCAGCAUAUCAGAAGGUUUUGCCUCCAGUAUCACUGUGCUAUCCGGUGGAGAACAGUUGCCACUAGCUCUGAUGGCAUGUCUUGCUACCAUUCUUUUGAAAGCUGACUUAAAUUGCCUUGCUGUGGGAUUGUUAUUAAAUCCAUUAGCAGAUUU